rnacentral:rRNA from 1 species
GAUGAACGCUGGCGGCGGGCCUAAUACAUGCAAGUCGAGCGAACAGACGAGGAGCUUGCUCCUCUGACGUUAGCGGCGGACGGGUGAGUAACACGUGGAUAAGCUACCUAUUUGACUUGGAGAACUUCGGGAAACCGGAGCUACUACCGGAUAAUAUAUUGAACCGCAUAGAUCAAUAGUGAAAGACGGUUUUGCUGUCACUUAUAGAUGGAUCCGCGCCGCAUUAGCUAGUUGGUAAGGUAACGGCUUACCAAGGCAACGAUGCGUAGCCGACCUGAGAGGGUGAUCGGCCACACUGGAACUGAGACACGGUCCAGACUCCUACGGGAGGCAGCAGUAGGGAAUCUUCCGCAAUGGGCGAAAGCCUGACGGAGCAACGCCGCGUGAGUGAUGAAGGUCUUCGGAUCGUAAAACUCUGUUAUUAGGGAAGAACAAAUGUGUAAGUAACUAUGCACGUCUUGACGGUACCUAAUCAGAAAGCCACGGCUAACUACGUG